AACGCACCUUGCACUCCUUGGUAUUCCGAGGAGUAUGCCUGUUUGAGUGUCAUGAAAUUAUCAACUUCAAAGUUUUAUUACAUUGAAGCUUGGACUUGGAAGUUGCUGGCUUGUUCGGCUCUUCUUAAAUUUAUUAGCUGCUUGUCCGUGGGUUGGCUCAGAGUGUGAUAAUUAUCUGCACUUGGUGGCUGCCUGCAAGGAUGUGGCUUCUAACCGUCUUUGGACAAUUUCUUAAGAUCUGACCUCAAAUCAGGUAGGACUACCCGCUGAACUUAA
rnacentral:misc_RNA from 1 species